rfam:Enterococcus phoeniculicola ATCC BAA-412 genomic scaffold acvKl-supercont1.5, whole genome shotgun sequence.
AGAGUGUUAUGAUGUUGGAGUGUUUACUCCGAGUCUAGCUCAGCGCUGCUCUCCAAGUCUUUUGACUUGGGGA